GGGCCGGUAACUCAGUGGUAGAGUGUAGGACUGCAGUUAUCGUCUGUUUUCCCGAAGUCACCGGUUCGACUCCGGUUCGGCCCU
rnacentral:tRNA from 1 species